rnacentral:rRNA from 1 species
UACGUAGGUGACAAGCGUUGUCCGGAAUUAUUGGGCGUAAAGGGCGCGUAGGCGGCUUUUCAAGUGACGGGUGAAAUCCCUCGGCUUAACCGAGGAACUGCCUGUCAGACUGGAAGGCUUGAGACCGGGAGAGGUGAGUGGAAUUCCCAGUGUAGCGGUGAAAUGCGUAGAUAUUGGGAGGAACACCAGUGGCGAAGGCGGCUCACUGGACCGGAACUGACGCUGAGGCGCGAAAGCGUGGGGAGCAAACAGG